rnacentral:rRNA from 1 species
UGCCUACGGGAGGCAGCAGUGGGGAAUAUUGGGCAAUGGGCGCAAGCCUGACCCAGCAACGCCGCGUGAAGGAAGAAGGCUUUCGGGUUGUAAACUUCUUUUCUCAGGGACGAAGCAAGUGACGGUGCCUGAGGAAUAAGCCACGGCUAACUACGUGCCAGCAGCCGCGGUAAUACGUAGGUGGCAAUCGUUAUCCGGAUUUACUGGGUGUAAAGGGCGUGUAGGCGGGAAAGCAAGUCAGAUGUGAAAACCGCGGGCUCAACCUGCGGCCUGCAUUUGAAA